rnacentral:lncRNA from 9 species
AGACAGGCUUGAGGUCCAUUGAUCUUUCUUCGGGAGAAGCUACCAGAGAGAAAAAAAAUUCCCAUAAGUGAUGCGACAGUGCCUUAGGAGGCCUGAUUGUCCUGAGUUGGGGAGAGCAGGAACUUGACUGCCUGCCCAACCAGCCUGGCCCAGCCUGGCCUCCCCAGCUACUUCCCCCGUCCAUGAUGGCAGAGCCUCCAGGAAGCUGCAGAUUGGUCUGUGUGUGGUUUAAAAACAUACGCCCUGGCUUUGACCAGCUCCUGGCAGGACAAACGUCUGGAGUCUGGAUUUGGGGCCUCUGGCAGAGCUGCGGUGGAGGCAGGAAGGCACAAAGAGCCUGUAAAACGCCUUCUGUACUGAAGUUCCGGAUCUUGCUUCGGGGAAGGGCCUCUUUGCUCUCUCACUGCCCAGCAGUCCAGACAGCAGAGCCUCGGGCGCCUCUGGGAAAACAAGGAGCCCAGAGGCCCUGAAAAAGAUUUUCACAACAGUAUCAUCCCUUUGAAAAAAAGAAACUUCGAUGUUGAGAGUAGUUUGAUUCUCACCACUUGCAAGGAAGAUGGGGAAGAAGCAGAGGCACCUCAAGACAUCAGAGCCUGUCCCAGUCCCGCAGCUACUGGUCACCAUCCCGGAUUCUGCAGGUGACCUGGUUAUUGCAAUCUUCAGGUGACCCUGUGGCCCCUUGUCCCUUGCUCCUGAAACUCCUAAAGCGAAGACCUAAAUCCAGAGAUACUUACAUUCUUUACUGAGUUGAGAAGAGAGGAUUUGGAAUACAAGUUCGUAAAUCUUCCAGAGCUGUAUGUUUCAGCCCCAAAUGCCUCUUUGAAUGUGCAUAUUUGCUAAUUAAAAGGAAAUAAAAUUAAAAACCUAGGCCCUCCGUUUCCUUUGUCACAGUUCAAAUGCUCAAUGGCUGCAUGUGGCCAGGGGUCCCAUCCUGGGCAGCCCAGAGGUAGAAGGUGUUAUCAUUCCAGAAAGAGCUAUUCCACAGUGCUAGAGCCGUUUUCUCCCUCCCUAGGGAUUUGCAAAACAGCAGCAUCACUGCAUGUCAACUAUUCCUUACGAUUCCAAAGGGGCGUUCUUUCCGGAGGAGGGGAUUUGUGACAGGGGCUCUCAGUGGUGACCCACCCCUGGGCCCACCGGUGUGGGCACCUGCACCUUUGCACCUGGAGCCUCUCGUGCAGUGGCAGAGCCCUGCGAUCCACACAGUCAGCCAGCGGCAACCUUGAGUGCCCCAAAGAACUGUUGCCCUGAAACUGUUUGCUUUGUAAGUGGAGCUCCCCUUCCACCAUGGCCCAUGGCAAGCGGCCCCAAGAUGUACCCCACACAGAAGGAGCAAGGGCUCAUGGGUGUCUGAAAGGCUCAGCUUGCUCUACAUUUGCUACUUUUUAUAUCGAUUUAGAGACAGUCAAGUGUCCAAACAGGGUAUCAGGUGCUAUGUCAUGUCUAACUUCCCAAGGAGGUUCUCUGGGCACGUAAAGAUAGACAAACAAAAUGCUCUCACUAUUGCCUCGCGGUGUCCCCGAAGCCAGCUGACCUUGACUUUUCUUCAUUCUCUGCUUCUCUUGGAGGUUUUGGCCGGGGGACAGAUCCCUCCUGGCUGCACCCGUGUGGUGCCUUUGAAGCUUAGAACAAUCUUUUUUUUUUUUUUCCCUGGUCCCAAAAUAGUGCCUCUG